CACGAAAUCGUGUGAGCUAAUCUAUUUAUAAAGUAUGUAGCAUAAUAUAAAUUUGAAAGUAGAUUAGGGGUGAAAGGCCUCCCAAAAACGAUGAUAUCUUGAAGUAAGCAAAAAUGAUUGAGUCUCAAGAUAAUUACAAAGUUAUAAGAUUUUGUAAAGGAUUUAAUUGCUAUUAUUAUAUUGUGCAGGUAUAAAAACCCACAUAAAGGUAAUUUAACAUUAGAUUAGUGUAAUUAUUUGAUUAGUUUACGAUAACAUAACUAUUUUAUAAUCAUAAUGUUGACAUAAGUAUUUAUUAGAUAUUAAUAGUGAACUCGGCAAUAAAGCUUUCAACUGUUUAUCAAAAACAUAGCCACUUGUAGCACACGUGGUGUAUUCUGCUCAAUGAUACUUAAAUAGCCGCAGUACCCUGACUGUGCAAAGGUAGCGUAAUCAUUUGUCUUUUAAUUGGAGUCGUGUAUGAAUGAAUGCAUGGGGGCUUACUUUACCAUUAGUAUAAGUUGAAAUUACUUAAGAGGUGAAAAUACCUCUAUGGAAAUAAUAGACGAGAAGACCCUUGAAAUUUUUAAAUACAUUUUGUUGGGGCAACAUAGUAGACAAACCUACUUAAUAUAUAUGAAAUUCUUUUUGAUUGCAUAAAUUACUCUAGGGAUAACAGCAUAAUUCUAUACGAGUUUGUGACCUCGAUGUUGGAUUAGGGAACUAUAACUUAAA
rnacentral:rRNA from 1 species